CGGUAGCCAUCUUCUUACAUAUGCAAACUCUUUUUAACUAGACUGUAUAUCAAGAUAUGACAAAUACUGAGCUUAACUUCACCUGUCUGAGGGACGGUGGAUCAGCUAACUUAUGGCUAAGAAUUACAAGAAACUGGUACUCACUGAUGACUUCCGUGAAUGCUGUGUUGGUGGGGUGAUGGGCCUGCAAAUAACAUUGAAGUGGGUACAGGAUUGAGCCGGAGAUGAAGAAGUGGCAUAGUCAAGCAGACAUUUCUUUUUCCAUGUUUAGCUGUGGAUGAGAGAGACAUCAGAUGUGUUGUGAACUACCUGUCAUGGGAUAAACAAAAUUAAACCUGAAAUCUUAGAAGAAACAAAUUGUUUGAAGAAAUUGGAUGUGCUUUUUUUAAAAAUUUUUCAUUCAACUGAAACUUUGUGAACUGUUUCAUGGUUGCAGUCUUCUCUGAAUUUUAAUCUUCAGCAUUCACUUCCAAAGUAUCCCCCACUAAACUGUAUAAUAUUUAUUGUGUCUCUUCAUCAUUAAACUUUGAUGAAUUUA